rnacentral:rRNA from 1 species
GACGAACGCUGGCGGCGCGCUUAACACAUGCAAGUCGAGCGAAGCGGCGGACGGGUGAGUAACACGUGAGUAACAUGCCUUAGACAUUGGGAUAGCCGCGGGAAACCGGGAUUAAUACCAAAUGGUCUAAGAUGGACUCGCGUCCCAUUAGCUAGUUGGUGGGUAACGGCCCAUCAAGGCGACGAUGGGUAGCAGGCCUGGGAUGGUGAACGGCCACAUUGGAGCUGAGAACAGGUCCAAGCUCGACGGGUGGCAGAAGUGGGGAAUAUUGCAGAAUGGAGGGAGCUGUGAUGCAGCGACGCCGCGUGAACGAAGAAGCCUUUCGAGUCUUAAAGUUCGUUUCUAUUGGGAGCGGUACGAUAAGAAAAAGCCCCGGCUAACUACGUGCCAGCAGCCGCGGUAAUUC